CUGUGUCUGCAAAGUAAACACCUUAACCAUUAUGCCACCCUCCCACCCUACUAAAACACAUUUCUAAUACAAGAACAAUAGUCAAAAGAACCUGUUUUGGUUGAAACCUAGCCAAGAUACAAGACCUUAUGUUUCAUUAAUUCUGAUCUUUGUCUCCAAAACUAUUACAAUCAUGGGGGGGGGGGGUUGGGUUGAGUGUCAAUUUCCCAAGGAAUCCUAGACUUUUAAUAAGGUUGGAAAUUCUGUAGAACAUCUCUAACUUGCUUUCUGAUUCCAUUAAUUCAAAGUCAUUAACUGUUGAUUGGACACUAAGGUACAUAUGUUUUGCUGAAUGCCCAAGCUAGCCCAAAACAAAAUGUGUCUGGAAAAACGCCUCCUAUCUCUUCAGCUGUAAAUAAAACACCAAAACAUAUGCUUUUUAAGACAACUGCCUUCACAAAUGUUAAAAAAAAAUCCUAUUUGAAACUCAAAAGGGAUACUGAUACUUUCACUGGCAGCAUAUCAGGAAUACUAGACUCACUCAGUUUGCCUUGUCUCCAUACAAUGCAGAAAUCGCAGAGUUAGCACAGUUUCUGGCAUGCAUCAUUUCCUUCAUGCUCCAAUGAUUACCCAAUAUUUGCUCUGUUAAUUUUUUAAUGUCCCCUAUGUCUGCUCAAACUGAAACUUCCUGGACUACACACAUUCAUAACGGGUUAUUUCCACUGAGGGUAUAACAUGGAUAACAACUGGUUGGUCUUCCUUCUACUAUAAUUAAAAUCAACUACUCAUCUGUAAUGUUAAAUCACUGCACUCUGGGGGAAUCUGCUAGAUAAGAAGUGCAAAGCUAUUAUGAAGAGUUUCAGUUCAAAGAGCUGCUCCUGAAAAGAAACCAACACCCACUCCACAAAGUGCGACAGGCAUGGGCAAGGCUUUCACUUUAUCUAAAAAAGUAAUUAAAAUUGGAUACAUGACAUCACCUACAUUUGUCACAUGCUCUCAGGAGAAACAAAUGAUUAUUACUAAUGCAGUCUGAAAAGUCAUUCCCAGCCUGCUAUGAAUACAUUGCUACAAUCAAUGCUUAACAUAGAAUGAAAAAACAAGGGCAUACACAUACUGAAGCUGGACCUUUACCUACAAGGCUUAUCAUCCGAGGACAGCUCCUAAAAGACAAAAUUACCAGAAAAGAAGAACUCAGAAGAAGGAAACCAGAGCUAGUUACUUCAACUUCAGAAUGGCUGUAGGCUCUCCUCCAUUGACAGACAGUGCCUCUCCUGUUUUAGCAGAGUUAAAAGCACGCAUCCUAAAGGAUUACUGGGCCCUAGGGGGACUGGUUGUGAUUGCAAUUUUCUGUGGACUCUUUUUAGCUCUCAUAAUGUUUGCAGCAGUUUUUGGAUGCUGCUCUGGACGUCGACAUAAAAGCACAUCAGAAAUAUCAAGAGAAGAGUGCCAGGGGCAGAGAAAGGUUACCAGACUAUGAAGAAACAAUGUAAAAUAACUUGUGCACCAAGUACACCUCGCAAGGCGGAAUAAAAAUAUGGAAUUCUACCUCCAUGGUGUGUGCUAUGCUAUUUGCAGUGCUUUGCAGUUGUCAAAAAAAAACAAAGGGAUUAUGAAAAAUAAAUACAACUCAGACAA